GACGAACGCUGGCGGCGUGCCUAAUACAUGCAAGUAGAACGCUGAAGGAGGAGCUUGCUCUUCUGGAUGAGUUGCGAACGGGUGAGUAACGCGUAGGUAACCUGCCUGGUAGCGGGGGAUAACUAUUGGACACGAUAGCUAAUACCGCAUAAGAGUAGAUGUUGCAUGACAUUUACUUAAAAGGUGCAAUUGCAUCACUACCAGAUGGACCUGCGUUGUAUUAGCUAGUUGGUGGGGUAACGGCUUACCAAGGCGACGAUACAUAGCCGACCUGAGAGGGUGAUCGGCCACACUGGGACUGAGACACGGCCCAGACUCCUACGGGAGGCAGCAGUAGGGAAUCUUCGGCAAUGGACGGAAGUCUGACCGAGCAACGCCGCGUGAGUGAAGAAGGGUUUCGGAUCGUAAAGCUCUGUUGUAAGAGAAGAAGGAGUGUGAGAGUGGAAAGUUCACACUGUGACGGUAGCUUACCAGAAAGGGACGGCUAACUACGUG
rnacentral:rRNA from 1 species